GGAACUUAGGCGUGAAGAUCCUCUUCCUAGAAAUAGUAAGCCACCAAUUUAGAAUCUUUCUCACUUUCUUAUUGUUUAUAAAAAAAAUGUCUUCAAAAAGUCUUUUUGGUUUUAGCUUUUUUCAGCACAUUUAGUCCCUUUUUCUUGAAAUCUUAGUAUGCAUUGAUUAAUCUAUAUAUGGUUUUAAAAUAACAGUUUCAGUUUCAUUGAACUAUAUUCAGGUCAAUAUCUAGUGUAGUUACAAUUGAUUAGAAAAGUGCAUGCAUAAUUUUGUUUUAAAAACUUAUAAUUCAAUGAACACAUAUAAUGUACAUUCAUUUCGACCAAAGUAAUAAACUCACUAAACCAACUGAAAUGUUAAUGAGCUUAGGCUUACUACUUUGUUCUUAACUUAAAUAUCGAAACCCAUUAGCAUUAUGGGCCUUAAUAAGAUUCAUGGCCCAAUGAUCUUUUUGCUUCAUCUUCUGCUUUCUUCUACGACAACCUAACUCAUCCACUUCUUCUCCUUUCACAACUCUUCUUCUCUUCUUUACCCCUAUAAAUUUUACAUAUUAGUUUAUUUUUAAUGUAAAUUUGAUUGAAUUUGAAAAAAUACUUGGUUAAAAUUAGGGUUUGACCCCUAUAAAUUUGUUCUAACUUCCAAAUGACCCCUUUAGUUGAUAUAACUUUUUAAUUUAUCGUCCAUCAUAAAUUUUUUUGUUUAUUUGACCGCUAUAAAACUUGUUUGUAGAUCCGCCACUGGUAUAUACAUACAUUUUAAUGGAGCUGUGAGAAUACUUUUGAGGUUCAACUCUCGUUACAAUACCUUUUGUGACCGAUAUGGUAUCACCACCUGUAUUUGCGCAUAACAUAACUAUAAUAACUCAUUUUCUUUAAGUGAAUCAUGGUUGCUAUUCUUUUCUCAAUACCACAUAUGUCAAAGCUUUUUUCUUGCCAGCUAAUUUGUACUCAGUGCGAAAAAAAUUUAGCAUUGUUCAAGACGUACCACGAGGAUAACCUAAAGCGUAGACAGUUUCACCGAUAAAAGGUAUGCCUCCGAGCUCCAAAGGAUUUAUAUCCUCCCAAAACUCUUCACUAUCAAUACCUAAGAUAGCUAAGUCACAUCCAUACCUAAACGCUUUAACUUCAGCUUUGUAUUUAGUGGGUGAACCAUGUUUUCUCACUUGCAGGUAUAAGUGAUCACCCACAACAUGAGCGUUUGUAAGAAUCCUCCUCCCGGAGAUUGCAAAUCCUAACAUAGAUAUUCCAAAG
rnacentral:lncRNA from 1 species